UGGGGAAUAUUGCACAAUGGGCGCAAGCCUGAUGCAGCCAUGCCGCGUGUAUGAAGAAGGCCUUCGGGUUGUAAAGUACUUUCAGCGGGGAGGAAGGGAGUAAAGUUAAUACCUUUACUCAUUGACGUUACCCGCAGAAGAAGCACCGGCUAACUCCGUGCCAGCAGCCGCGGUAAUACGGAGGGUGCAAGCGUUAAUCGGAAUUACUGGGCGUAAAGCGCACGCAGGCGGUUUGUUAAGUCAGAUGUGAAAUCCCCGGGCUCAACCUGGGAACUGCAUCUGAUACUGGCAAGCUUGAGUCUCGUAGAGGGGGGUAGAAUUCCAGGUGUAGCGGUGAAAUGCGUAGAGAUCUGGAGGAAUACCAGUGGCGAAGGCGGCCCCCUGGACGAAGACUGACGCUCAGGUGCGAAAGCGUGGGGAGCAAACAGG
rnacentral:rRNA from 1 species